rnacentral:lncRNA from 1 species
CUCCUUUCCUCUUCUCUUCUCUUUUCUUUUACUACUUUUUUCUUUUUUGUCUGAACUCUUUUUUGCUUUUGCUCUUUUUAUAUUUUUUUAUCAGCAAGGUAUACAGAAGAAUAAACCACAAAAGAAUUGAACUUAAUUGGAUAAAAGAGGUGUCCUAUAGAAAAUCAAGAUUGUGCUCUUAGAACAUACAAAAACUUAUGGGGUCUGAAAACUCAAUUUUCCUAAUCGAAUUUCAUAAAUCUAAUUUUUAAAAAUAUAGGAAUGCUAGGAUGAAACGAAACUAAAAAAUUUUGGUGUCCUCAGUAGAUAAAAAAUUUGCCCCAUUUUGAGUUCGGAUGCAAAAGUUAUGAAUGUUUUAAAGAAACUACUCGAACUAGGGUUUUAGUAGACACAAGAUGCGAACCGAUCGUGAUAUGGUGUGGUGGUGGAUGAAGAGAUCAACUCAAACUAGAAAAGGAACACAAUCUAAACAAGCAAGAGGACCUUGACCUAGGACACAAACUCAACAUGGCGGACUUUGAAACUCAAAUAUGCAAAGGCUAUAUCGUGGAUGGUUGUAGGACAGGGAACAAAUAUGGCUCUGAUUACCACUUGAUGACGGUGGGGUUUUCAAUCUUCCGUUAGGUUCAAUAUAAGCAAUGAUUUGGUCGGAGAGCAUCACACCAAUUCGGCUUCAGAUGACAAAGACCCGAACCCUGCAACCAUAGCACCACGUCUCCUCUGGUUUUCAACCAUAUCACAAUCCGGUUAACAUCAUCACGAAAGCU